CGGCGGCCGCCCCGGGCUGGCCGAGAUCUAGCGGGGGGUGUUUCCCGGGCUGGAGACGGGUGAGUGGGGAAAGAGGCGGGGCCGACGCUGACUGGCGGGAAGGGAUGAGGAGCAGGGGCCUUAGCAAAUCCGCGCCUCACACACACAGAUGGAGAGGCGGAGGGGCGGGGAGCCGUGUGUAUUCGGCGGCGCGAGUAAAACGGAAGGCGGGGGUUCGGUGGAGAUGGGCGGGUCUUGCGGCCAAUCAGCGGCAGAGUCCCGUCCGAUCAGAGCCACCGGCUGACGUUGCCUUCGCCCGGCUUCUUCUCGGAGGGGCCAGCCCCCGCGCGCGCGGCCGGGGGCGGCCCCGAUUGGCCGGCGGGGCGCGGGGCGGGUAGGACGGGGGCGCGCGCGCGGCGGAGGAGGUAAACAAGCCGUCAGCGCGCGAGCGACCGUUGGAGCCGGGCGCAAAGGCAGGGGCGGGGCCGGCCGUCUGAGGGGAGCGGAGCGCGCGCGGCACCGGCGGCCCCGCAGGGCUCCCCCGGCCCCGGCAGCCCCCCCGCGACUCGCGUGCCUGUUCCGGCAUAAGGCAGGGUGGUUUUAGUAAAGCGCAACGGCCGGUGGUAAGGUGCGGGGUGGCUUUUCUUAUUUUUGUUACGCUGCUAUGUCACUUGACAAUUGUCGCGGGUUUGGGGACAAUUGUCCUGGGUUUGGGCUCGCCCAACGCCAGCCAGCCUUGGGUUUGGCAGGAUCAGCAAACCUGCCUUACGUCUGUGGCCGCUUGAUACAGCGUGUGGUCUUCAGUCAGUGGUGUCCAAGCAGGCCGCUGGCAUGAUCCCUGAAUUCCAGAUCAAAACAUGGGCUCGACGUUGCCAGAUGUGCCGGAGUUCCACCAUUUGAGGGGCAGUAUUGGAGGGUGUGGAACCGUGCCCAGCCCUUUACCCGCCUGCACGGUGCGUGCCCCGUCGCUCAGCACAUCCCCACCGAGGGUCCCGGCGGUGGCAUUCCCUUGGCGCAGCCGCGGCCCUCUCCGUGUGCUGUCGUGGCCAGGAACAGGAGCAGCUUUCCCACCUCUGGGUGUUGCGCCGCAGCGUGGUAGCGGUUGUCCCGCUGUGGAGGUCGGGGUGUUGCCCACCAAUGCAGCCCCUUCUCUUUUUUAAUAAAUGUACCCCUGCCAAAGGUAUAUUUCAUUUGAGUUAGGAGUUUGUGUGUAUCAGUCAUGUAUGCGUAAAAAUAAACUUUUUUUUUUCUGUAA